GGGAUCGAAUCCAGGACUUCCACUUUGCAGGCAGUUCUUCACCAUCUGAACCACCAUGGAUACCCAAUAGCAGUGUUCUUGGAUUGGCUGGAAAUCGAACCCAGGCCUCCCACGUGGCAGCUGCCAAAGGUCAUCUGACAUAAUAGCUGAUGAAUUCAAGCCCAGUGGAUUUCAUUUGCAAUUUUCAAUUUACCGAGGCCUCCAAACCCCACGGUGAUAAAAGCUUCCCCUAUCGUGGCCUGUCACAAACAUCAAGAAACUGCACAAACCCACAAGAAAGAAAAAAGAGAAAGCUGUGCAUCCUUGCAGGUACAGAUAAGGAGAACAGGAAGGAAUGGUAUCAUGCAGGAAGAACAUCUAUUAGAAUCAUCCAGAGCACAGAUUGGAUUGAUGCUGAAGCUCUAGUACUUUGGCCACCUGAUGAGAAGAGCUGACUCACUGGAAGAGAACCUGAUGCUG